AUUGAACGCUGGCGGCAGGCCUAACACAUGCAAGUCGAACGGUAACAGGAAGCAGCUUGCUGCUUUGCUGACGAGUGGCGGACGGGUGAGUAAUGUCUGGGAAACUGCCCGAUGGAGGGGGAUAACUACUGGAAACGGUAGCUAAUACCGCAUAACGUCGCAAGACCAAAGAGGGGGACCUUAGGGCCUCUUGCCAUCGGAUGUGCCCAGAUGGGAGUAGCUAGUAGGUGGGGUAACGGCUCACCUAGGCGACGAUCCCUAGCUGGUCUGAGAGGAUGACCAGCCACACUGGAACUGAGACACGGUCCAGACUCCUACGGGAGGCAGCAGUGGGGAAUAUUGCACAAUGGGCGCAAGCCUGAUGCAGCCAUGCCGCGUGUAUGAAGAAGGCCUUCGGGUUGUAAAGUACUUUCAGCGGGGAGGAAGGGAGUAAAGUUAAUACCUUUGCUCAUUGACGUUACCCGCAGAAGAAGCACCGGCUAACUCCGUG
rnacentral:rRNA from 1 species